rnacentral:rRNA from 1 species
UGGGGAAUUUUGCACAAUGGGGGAAACCCUGAUGCAGCAACGCCGCGUGAGUGAAGAAGGCCCUUGGGUUGUAAAGCUCUUUCGGCCGGGGAAAAGGUUAGUCGUGCUCAUACCACGAUUGAUUGAUUGUACCGGAAGAAGAAGCACCUGCUAACUACGUGCCAGCAGCAGCGGUAAUACGUAGGGUGCAAGCGUUGUUCGGAAUUACUGGGCGUAAAGGGCGCGUAGGCGGGUUUGUAAGUUGGUUGUGAAAUCCCUGGGCUUAACCUAGGACGUGCAACCAAAACUGCAAGUCUUGAGUAUUGGAGAGGAUGGCGGAAUUGCAGGUGUAGAAGUGAAAUUCGUAGAUAUCUGCAAGAACACCGGAGGCGAAGGCGGCUGUCUGGCCAAAUACUGACGCUAAGGCGCGAAAGUGCGGGGAGCAAACAGG